GAGUUUGAUCCUGGCUCAGAUUGAACGCUAGCGGGAUGCCUUACACAUGCAAGUCGAACGGCAGCGCGGACUUCGGUCUGGCGGCGAGUGGCGAACGGGUGAGUAAUGUAUCGGAACGUACCCAGUAGCGGGGGAUAACUACGCGAAAGCGUAGCUAAUACCGCAUACGCCCUACGGGGGAAAGCGGGGGACCUUCGGGCCUCGCACUAUUGGAGCGGCCGAUAUCGGAUUAGCUAGUUGGUGGGGUAAAGGCCUACCAAGGCGACGAUCCGUAGCUGGUUUGAGAGGACGACCAGCCACACUGGGACUGAGACACGGCCCAGACUCCUACGGGAGGCAGCAGUGGGGAAUUUUGGACAAUGGGGGCAACCCUGAUCCAGCCAUCCCGCGUGUGCGAUGAAGGCCUUCGGGUUGUAAAGCACUUUUGGCAGGAAAGAAACGGGCCUGGCUAAUACCUGGGUCAACUGACGGUACCUGCAGAAUAAGCACCGGCUAACUACGUG
rnacentral:rRNA from 1 species